rnacentral:lncRNA from 1 species
UCCUUUGCAACUUAGACUUGGUAGCUAGCUCUCUGCAGUCCUAGAAAAGCAGCAAACGCUCCGGGAUUUCCUUUCUUCUUUGGGUAUUUUGGGUUCUUUGCUCUUUGGGUGGUCGGUUGGUUUUAUUCUUCCAAAAGGAGCCUCCCUCUUCUCUCUCUGAGUAAUAUGGAUGGAAAGAAGCCAAAAAAGGCUUAUAAAUGGAUGGAUGGAUGAAUGCAUGCAUGAUUGGAAAUGUACAAAAUAUGAUGCCCACACCACAUUUAUGCUCAUCACUUACUAUUCCCAUAAUUUUUGUCCUGGAUUUGCACUCAAAACUGUUGUCAGUGCAAGUGGUGGACCGGGUGUCAU